rnacentral:rRNA from 1 species
UCGAGACGAGUCCUAUGAGGACGAAGUGACUGACACCACGCUUCCAGGAAAAGCCACUAAGCUUCAGCUUAAGAAAAACCGUACCGCAAACCGACACAGGUAGGCAGGGUGAGAAUCCCAAGGCGCUUGAGAGAACUCGGGUGAAGGAACUAGGCAAAAUGGCACCGUAACUUCGGGAGAAGGUGCGCCCUUUGGUGUGGUCACGUGCGUGACUGAGCAUUGAAGGGUCGCAGUAACCUGGCCGCUGCGACUGUUUAUCAAAAACACAGCACUCUGCAAACACGAAAGUGGACGUAUAGGGUGUGACGCCUGCCCGGUGCUGGAAGGUUAAUUGAUGGGGUCAGCCGCAAGGCGAAGCUCUUGAUCGAAGCCCCAGUAAACGGCGGCCGUAACUAUAACGGUCCUAAGGUAGCGAAAUUCCUUGUCGGGUAAGUUCCGACCUGCACGAAUGGCGUAACGACGGCGGCGCUGUCUCCACCCGAGACUCAGUGAAAUUGAAAUCGCUGUGAAGAUGCAGCGUUCCCGCGGCAAGACGGAAAGACCCCGUGAACCUUUACUAUAGCUUUACACUGAACGUUGAGUUCUUCUGUGUAGGAUAGGUGGGAGGCUAUGAAACCAGGACGCUAGUUCUGGUGGAGCCAUCCUUGAAAUACCACCCUGAAGUGCUUGACGUUCUAACCUAGGCCCGUAAUCCGGGUCAGGGACCGUGUAUGGUGGGUAGUUUGACUGGGGCGGUCUCCUCCCAAAGAGUAACGGAGGAGCACGAAGGUACGCUCAGCGCGGUCGGACAUCGCGCACUGUGUGCAAAGGCAUAAGCGUGCUUGACUGCGAGAUCGACGGAUCAAGCAGGUACGAAAGUAGGUCUUAGUGAUCCGGUGGUUCUGUAUGGAAGGGCCAUCGCUCAACGGAUAAAAGGUACUCCGGGAUAACAGGCUGAUACCGCCCAAGAGUUCAUAUCGACGGCGGUGUUUGGCACCUCGAUGUCGGCUCAUCACAUCCUGGGGCUGUAGCCGGUCCCAAGGGUAUGGCUGUUCGCCAUUUAAAGUGGUACGCGAGCUGGGUUCAGAACGUCGUGAGACAGUUCGGUCCCUAUCUGUCGUGGGCGUUGGAGAUUUGAGGGGGGCUGCUCCUAGUACGAGAGGACCGGAGUGGACGUUCCGCUGGUGUUCGGGUUGUCAUGCCCAUGGCAUUGCCCGGUAGCUACGAACGGAAGUGAUAACCGCUGAAAGCAUCUAAGCGGGAAGCACGCCCCAAGAUGAGAUCUCCCGAGAGCUUGACUCUCCUAAAGGCACCAUCAAGACUAGGUGGUUGAUAGGUCAGGUGUGGAAGCGCAGCAAUGCGUUGAGCUAACUGAUACUAAUGAGCCGUGAGGCUUGACCA